UGUAUAUAUAUAGUAUAUAUAUAUAUAAAUUUGUGUCUAUAUAUAUAUAUUAAUUUGUAUAUAAUAAAUUUGUGUGUAUAUAAUAUAAAUUUGUGUGUGAGCACGUGUGUGUGUGUAUGCAUUGCUAUGUGGAUACUGGGUUUUAUCUCACUGCUGCACCUUGGGCAAGUAUCUUUUAAUAGCCUUGGACUGGCUGAUGACUUGUGAUUGAAGUUUGGUAGUGGGUGGAGGAAAAUUUUGCUGAGUCCUGUGCGUUUAUAUUUUGGCACCACUCUGAAGACUGGUGCUGUUGCUUGUGCCCCUUUUUUAUGUCCCAUAAUGUUGCAGUUUGACAGAAUUGAUUAAAAAGCUGCUGGUGUUAAUACCAUUACUUAUAACCCCUUGAAGACGGUACCUCAACAGGGCUGCAGUUAAGACUGGAACCAGUACAAGAAUGUCUUUGUGUGUAUAUAUGUAUAUACAUAUAUCUCAAGAGUAUGUAUAUUUAAUUUUAUUAUACUUUGUGCAUACUUUGUAUCUGCGUACAUAGACUGCAUAUUGAUUUGUUUGGUUCAUUUUUGUUAUUUCUUAAUAUUUUCAGUAACCUGCUUUAAUGGUUAAGUUUUUUUUUGUAUAUUACACCCUCCCUUCUUUCUUUCCUCCCAUCUCUUUAAUGAUAAAGAAAUAAAUUAGGUAUUUAUUGCUCUUGAUCUAUUGUGUGAGAGUUUUUUUUUUCUCUUUUAUGUGUAUCAUCAUUAUCAUCGAUUUAACUGCCACUUUUUCGUACUUGAGUGGCUUUGAUGGUAUUUGCUGAAGUACAUUCUCUUCGGUCAGAUGACCUUCAUGUUGCCAAAUAUCACCAGUUUCCCCAUUUGGCUCGACAUGUUUUUCAUGAAAGAUUGAAAAUAAGGGACACCACUUGGCUGACAACUAUGUUGCGAUGUGAAAACCAGGGGAGACAAACACCCACAUACACAGCUGGGGGUUCAUUUAAGUUUCGUCUGUCAAAUCUACUCAAGGAUUUGGUUGGCCUGGAGCUAUAGUACAAGACACUUAAUGUACUGUGCAAUGAGACUGUGCCCUAUACUGUUUGUUUGGGAAGCAUCUUGUGAAUCCCACAGCCGUCCUUGCACUUGAAUAUUUUCCUUCCCAGUAGGGGAUCGAACAGGUCUGCUGCUCCACAAGCAGAAAUAUUUAUCCUCUCUACCUAGGAACAUUUUUCUAUUCAAAGCCACGGUUUCAGCCUGACUACCUGCUGACGUUUUACACAGCUGAAUUUCACGUUGUUAGUCUCGUGUCUCAAGAUCCUCGUUCAGUCAAUAUCGGUCAGCCAGCUUGAAGAAUAAAAGAUUCUACAAUAUUUCUUAUUUGAUGCAGCACGGAACUUUGUCAGCGAACAGGUCGUGGUCUCAAAGCGAAAAUAUCUUGACAAAUUAAAUUUAAAUGUUGAAGUGAA